rnacentral:misc_RNA from 1 species
UUCCCUCUGAGCAGCUGCCUCUUCAGCAUAAAGAUCUUUAUUAUCCUGGGCUGAAAAUUCUUUGGAUUGCACCAGAAAGUCUCGAAUGUGAUUCUUAAACACGGAGAGGUCAUUUCUCGAGUCAAACAGUCCAUUCACAAAUUGAGUGACUUCUGCUGCAGUCAUGUUGGGGAAUGAAGAACUCAGCAGCUUGAUAGUGUACUCCCGAACAAAGGCCACGUUAUUUGGGUAUGGAUAAGUUACAGUUGCAGCAUCCCACAAAGGUUCUGUUAAUACACCAGACUCCGCCAAGCAAAACAAGUGUUGAAGGACCAAGACAUGCAACUUAAAUCCUGGCUUAUGAAAUGUGUCCGUCAAGACUGCAAAUAUUUCUUGCUCUAUGGUCAAGAAAUAUGUUCGAUAAAAUUGAUUGCAAAACUCGGAAGCCUGAAAAUUUUUUAGCAUCUCUAAUAGUAGAUUGAGCCCAGUUUCAGCAAUAUUCCUCUCUGUAUGCCGAAAUGCCCAUAUAAUUGAAUCCAUAACAAGCUUUAAUUG